rnacentral:rRNA from 1 species
UACGGGGGGGGCAAGCGUUGUUCGGAAUUACUGGGCGUAAAGGGCUCGUAGGUGGCCAACUAAGUCAGACGUGAAAUCCCUCGGCUUAACCGGGGAACUGCGUCUGAUACUGGAUGGCUUGAGUUUGGGAGAGGGACGCGGAAUUCCAGGUGUAGCGGUGAAAUGCGUAGAUAUCUGGAGGAACACCGGUGGCGAAGGCGGCAUCCUGGACCGGCAUUGACGCUGAUGAGCGAAAGCCAGGGGAGCAAACGGG